UACGAAGGUCCCAAGCGUUAUCCGGAUUUAUUGGGUUUAAAGGGUGCGUAGGCGGGUUAUUAAGUCAGUGGUGAAAGCCUGCAGCUUAACUGCAGAAUUGCCAUUGAUACUGAUGAUCUUGAGUAUGAUUGAGGUGGGCGGAAUGUGUCAUGUAGCGGUGAAAUGCUUAGAUAUGACACAGAACACCGAUUGCGAAGGCAGCUCACUAAGUCAUAACUGACGCUGAUGCACGAAAGCGUGGGUAGCAAACAGG
rnacentral:rRNA from 1 species